GAGAAAAUAUAUAAAACAAUAAGUUAGCUGAUGAUAACACACUGUAUUCAAACACAAAGUGUGGAUUUUCCCCUGAAGUGCUCCUGGAUAAAUGUAUAGGGAGGAGCACGGGGCGUCUCACCACAAUGAGCCGUGUCUCGCUCCCCUCCAGACUUCCAGCUUUCACUCACACAGCCCCACUGAGCACUGAGGUACAAAGCGAGACUCACUCCCAGCCAGGCACAU